UUCCACUUGUAUAUUCUGGUAUAUAACAUUCAUUUAUGUUUUAAAUAGAAAAAGGAAGACGAAAAAGGUAAUAACAGCAAAACCGCGAAGCCUCCAUUUUCGUAUCUGCAACUGCAAAGCGUGGACUUUCUAGUUUCUACUCAGUUUUGUUCAGAUCCUGUAACACCAUUCUGUUUCUUCUUUCCAAAUUGGACAGUAUACAAUUCCAUACCCCAUAUCUUCUCC
rnacentral:lncRNA from 1 species